GGUUAAUGGUUGGAAAGAACUGGACUUGUCUGAAUAGAGCAAAACUACUUUGGAAGAGUGGGUAAAAGGAUUAGUGAGAAAAAGUGGCUCAGUAGCACAGGCCUUUUAUUGUCAACUCUCCAUCGAAAGAUAAAUUUAAUAAAACAGUCAUCUAUAACAAGAAGCAAUGGUUCAACAAAUUCAAUUCAGAGAGCACUUCUCUUGUUUCCUGGUAGUGGGGAGGCCCCUGAGGGAUAAUUAAACCACGGUUUAAGCUAUUUACAAUCCUAGAAGAGAGAAGGAUUAAGUUUUUUAUGCCACAGUCAUCAAUAUUAAAACUUCAAGGUAAAGUACUCCUUUUUAAGGAUUUUCAGUUAGGUGGCUCAACAUAAUUAAGAAUUUUGUCGUUGGACAGUCUCUAUGCAUACAUAAAUGAGUAGAAACAUGCAUUUAAAAUGUUUACAUAUAUAUACAUAUAAUACAUAUAUACAUACACACACAAGGUGUCCAAAAGUCUUAGGGUACAGUUUUAAGCUUUAACUUCACUAAGACUUUUGAGACAUGUUAUAUAUGGACAAGGUUGGGGUUGGAUAGUUUAGGAACACAAAAAUUAUUUCCUUUCUCUUUUUCUUUUCCACAAUUGUGAUAAUAAACUCAUUUUCAAAAAAAGUCAUACAAAGAUCUCUCUCUAUCCUCUGUGAAGUUACCUAAAAUCUUCUUUAAUGUGUUUUCAGACCCAACACCUUUGGUGGGAGGUUAGCAGAGGAACUAUCUCCAAUAGUUAAAUGGUAUAGGGAAAGACCUCUUGACUGCCUUUUGCUCUGGACAUCUUGUCACAUCCAGACCAGGUUUCUCUCCCUCCCCCCAGGAGGAAACAACCUAGGGUGGGUCUUGUUGGUUUCUAAGGCAACCUUUCUUCUUCAGUCCAGAGUGGUGAGCUUUUUGCAUAGUGGAUAGGACAGCGACUGAGAACAGUUAAACCCCAGAGACAGAAGCUAUCUGUUAUUCAUCUUGGGUCCCGGCGGUUCUCCACCUGCGGGGGGGGGGGGUCUCUGGGGGGAGAUGGGAACCGCUGGUGUUUGCCUCCAGGGAGUUUAAACAAAAGGAAUUUAGGGGAAUUAUUCAGUUUUCUCUCCCCGCCCUCCCCAGACUUUUUUAAGCAAUCCAAAAACUCUAGACAUUUAUUUGAAAAGUGUUCUAGGGAACAUACCCUGAGGUCAGCUAUACCUAAGAUCAGUUAACUACUGAGAAGCCUUGGAGAGGGAAAAGCGACCGAAUGAGGCGGGGGCAUUUUCCCAAUUCUCCGCUAAGGCUUAUAAGCAUUCUUCUUCCCGGAUGGACACCCGAAGUGUACAGAAAAGUCAGAUUCAGGUCCAGUUCUGCCACGUCAAGAGAAUGAUCAAACAGGUCCUCUUCAUUUCACACCUAGACUACUACAAGAGCCUGUUGGUGUUCCUGUGCACUAAAGUGAUUUUCCUAAAGUGCAGAACCAUGUCCGACCAGGUCAUCACCACCCUACUCAAAACACACCAGUGCCUUCCCUAUUACCUCGAGGAUCAUAUAUAAAAUCUCCUGUUUCUAGUCUUCUUAGACCUGACUCUCUCCCUUACCCUCCCCCAAUAUUCUUUGAUCCAGUGACACUGGCCACCUUACUAUAAAGUCGAACCCGGCACUCCA